GGGUACCGAUUUUGGGAUGAACAAAAUCGGAAGAUCAUCCGAAGCAGGAAUGUUGUCUUUAACGAAGAGGUACUGUACAAAGACAAGCUGCAAAAGCAUUCAGAAUGUCAGGACAAAGAAUCGGAAAUAGUCGAUUUGAGGGACUUUCCGGCACCUGAGCUGUUACACCCCGUACUUCGAAGAAACACUGUUAAAUUUGAAUGUAAGAAUGUCGAGUUACGACUAGUUAAAACAACUUUGGAGUAUGAGGAAUGAGACAUUAUUAAGUAUAUUGUUUAAAUAAUGGAUGAUUAUGAUCUUGUAAGUCGUCAUCGGGAAAGAGUAUUUUAAAACACAAGAAUAUGGUCAUUAUCAUGUAUAAUAAGUGAUAAAUAUCAUGUAUGGAGGGUUUCGGAAUAUUUCGAGAUCGAGCAAGUUGAAGAAAAUAAGUUCGACGAAAAUUUGAGAAAUGCCGGACAAAUUUUUAGUCAACUUUGGAGGGGUAUAUCUCUAUGCAUAUUUGGAGUUUUAAGGCGUUUCAAAAGCCUAAAAUGAAGUUCGUCAAGUCUAGUUUAUGAUUCAACAAACCACUCAUCGAUAGGACGUCGGAGUAGAGAAUUAUAGACGCUACAAACUGAACUGUCGCGCAGAAACAGCACUGCUACAGUACGCUACAGCACUGCUACAGUACUGUAGCUACAGUGACGCCGUUUCAGCCCUUAUAAAAAGGGGCAAAACCCCAUUUUUAUCAUCUAAAAACUUCUCAAAUUUUCCAGAAAAUUCAGCAACAAAAAGGGGCCUAAAUCUCACAUAAAAGUGAGGAUUGUGAGUGAAAUUUCAAGCUACGAAGUACUAAUCGAAGUCCGGGCAACGCAUAAUCACGAAUAUAAUUUUGUUUGGAGUUAGAGGAGCAUGGGAACAAUAAGAUGUUGAAGGAUUUGCUACUUUCAUAAAAACAAGGUUUUGGACGAAACGGGAUUUGAGUUUUGGCAAGCGUAAAGGGCAAGAAAGGUACAGACUACAGAUUUGCUGACCCACCUGCCUAGGACACCUAUUCUGCUAUUCUGGAGCGCUCUUUUGUCCAGAGCCUAUACUCUGGUACAGUCUGCUGCUGUUGGAUAUAUGUACGCUAUUCAUGGGUACGACGGGGCCCUGUCCUGUCUUAUGUUUCUGUUAUGUUCUGUAGAGGUCUGUAGACAUACAUGUGGGUUCUGUAUAUGUUUUGGGUUGCUAUGAUUUGUGAUAGCCUUAUCGGCUUCCAUGUGUUAUAUAUGUUCCUCUAUGACACUAGUAAUGUCGACUGACUUUUAUAUUUAUAUAAUCUGCUAGUCUGCUGGUUUGGAUUA